rnacentral:rRNA from 1 species
GAUGAACGCUAGCGGCAGGCUUAAUACAUGCAAGUCGAACGGGAUUGAGAAGCUUGCUUUUCAUGAGAGUGGCGCACGGGUGCGUAACACGUAUGCAACCUGCCUUGUCCAGGGGGAUAGCCCGUUGAAAAACGGAUUAAGACCGCAUAACAUCAUUGAAUGGCAUCGUUUAAUGAUCAAAUAUUUAUAGGGACAAGAUGGGCAUGCGUCUGAUUAGCUAGUUGGCGGGGUAAUGGCCCACCAAGGCGACGAUCAGUAGGGGAUCUGAGAGGAUGACCUCCCACACUGGUACUGAGACACGGACCAGACUCCUACGGGAGGCAGCAGUAAGGAAUAUUGGUCAAUGGGCGCAAGCCUGAACCAGCCAUGCCGCGUGCAGGAAGACGGCCCUACGGGUUGUAAACUGCUUUUAUACGGGAAUAACCCCGGUUUCGUGAAACCGGCUGAAUGUACCGUAAGAAUAAGGAUCGGCUAACUCCGUGCCAGCCGCCGCGGUAAAAC